UACGGAAGGUGCAAGCGUUAUCCGGUUUUAUUGGGUUUAAAGGGUGCGUAGGCGGCUUAUUAAGUCAGUUGUGAAAUCCUAGUGCUUAACGCUAGAACUGCGAUUGAUACUGGUAGGCUUGAGUCAAGAAGAGGUAGGUAGAAUUUAGGGUGUAGUAGUGAAAUGCUUAGAUAUCCUAAGGAAUACCAAUAGCGUAGGCAGCUUACUGGUCUUGUACUGACGCUGAGGCACGAAAGCAUGGGGAGCAAACAGG
rnacentral:rRNA from 1 species